rnacentral:rRNA from 1 species
UACGGGGGGGAGCAAGCGUUGUUCGGAUUUACUGGGCGUAAAGGGCGCGUAGGCGGUCGUGACAAGUCACUUGUGAAAUCUCCGGGCUUAACUCGGAACGGUCAAGUGAUACUGUCGGACUAGAGUACAGAAGGGGCAACUGGAAUUCUCGGGUGUAGCGGUGAAAAUGCGUAGAUAUCGAGAGGAACACCUGCGGCGAAGGCGGGUUGCUGGGCUGAUACUGACGUGAGGCGCGAAAGCCAGGGGGAGCGAAAGGGG